rnacentral:rRNA from 1 species
AAUACGGAGGGUGCGAGCGUUGUCCGGAAUCACUGGGCGUAAAGGGCGCGUAGGUGGCCCGUUAAGUGGCUGGUGAAAUCCCGGGGCUCAACUCCGGGGCUGCCGGUCAGACUGGCGAGCUAGAGCACGGUAGGGGCAGAUGGAAUUCCCGGUGUAGCGGUGGAAUGCGUAGAGAUCGGGAAGAAUACCAGUGGCGAAGGCGUUCUGCUGGGCCGUUGCUGACACUGAGGCGCGACAGCGUGGGGAGCAAACA